UGGCUCAGAACGAACGCUGGCGGCGUGCCUAAUGCAUGCAAGUCGGACGCAGCGUGGCUUGCCACGCUGAGUGGCGCACGGCUGAGGAACACGUGGGCACCUGCCCUCCGGUGGGGGAUAACCCGACGAAAGUCGAGCUAAGCCCGCAUACGUUUCGCUCUUCGAGCGAAAGAAAACGGUGACGUGCCGGAGGAGGGGCCUGCGGCCCAUCAGGUCGUUGGUGCGGUAACGGCGCACCAAGCCGAUGACGGGUAGCUGGUCUGUGAGGACAACCAGCCAGACUGGGACUGAGAGACGAACCAGACUCCUACGGG
rnacentral:rRNA from 1 species